CUCAGCGUGAAACCUGGCCCAACUGGGCAACCCUCCCUGAUAAACGAAUACCCAAUGACAUGUUAUUUAUGAAGAUUUUGGUCGAUUCCAGUCACGCCCCUCUAUUCUUUCACAAUUAAAACAAGUAACAUGAAUUCACUCGAUUAUCAGACUCGACGAUUAUAUACCAGAUUCCUCAAUUACUCGUUUUACGGUCAGCGCAUUAACCGCAUCGUUAUUGACAAUGUCCAAGUCAACCGUUUCAUGGUUCUUAACGUCCAAGUCACUCACUCCGUGAUUCUCGAUUUAGAUGUCAUCGCGCUUUUUAGUUUCCAAUAUCCAAGUUAUUGAAUCAAGCCAAGUUAUUCGACACUGAACUGGAGGCCGAAAAUUAGAAAGAGGAUGAUCUGGGCUUGGAAAACUACAAAGCAGGUGACUUGGUCAUCGUGAACUAAAAAGCGGAAUACUUGGACAGAUGAAACUAUGGAUUGUAAGACCUGAGCAUAAAGAACCGUGAAAUUGAUGGCCUGGACAUUGAGACAACAAUGUGGAUUUAAUCAUAUAAUUGAUAUUGUAUGUGAAAAAUUGCACGUGAUAAAAUCUGCUCUGAUAGUCUAACAUCAGUUCAUAGAAUGUUUAUUUGUACCUCACUUCUUCAUCUCCCAAUUCUUUGUAAGAACUCCCCUUCGCUCUAAACACUUUUUGUUCAAGGACUCUUCUUCCGGAAUACACAUUUAUCUAUGCCAUGCCAAAUCAAUGCCUAUCGUUUUUGUUAUUCAUUUUGCAUAUCCAGAAGACACCAAAAAAUUUGUGUUACAAAUAAAUGAGUUGGACAUCCUGCAAUUUUAGGCACUCCAAAGCACCUCGAAACAAUGACUCUUUAAGGCAGUGAUGAAUAUAUAUUGUGGAAAGAAAACUGUCUUACUCUUAAACGCAGAGGUGUCUUGCCAGAGAAACGACCGACAAAUAUGUGGGGUACGCAUGAGUGUCACAAUGUCACACGAAAAAAUGUCCGUUCAUUACUUAAAGAUAAUUGGGUCG
rnacentral:lncRNA from 1 species